ensembl:snoRNA U3 Small nucleolar RNA U3
AAGAAUAUACUUUCAGGGACCAUUUCUGUAGUUCAUUACUAGUGCAAUUUCUCUGAACAUGUGGAGCAUGGAAACCAUGAGCAGGAGGUGAAGCGCCCUCUCCUGAGUGUGAAGCUGGCUUUGGUGUGGCUGCGCCGCCACUGCCAUUUACCACUGAGGAUCCUUUUCUCUUCCCUGGGAAGCAUAAGAGAGACAGGAGGCACUCUGAGUCGU